GAUGAACGCUAGCGGCAGGCUUAACACAUGCAAGUCGAGGGGUAUAGUAGCAAUACUAGAGACCGGCGCACGGGUGCGUAACGCGUAUGCAACCUACCUUUUACAGAGGGAUAGCCCCAGAGAAAUUUGGAUUAAUACCUCAUAGUGUUAUUAGAUGGCAUCAUUUGAUAACUAAAGUUCCAACGGUAAAGAUGGGCAUGCGUCCUAUUAGCUAGAUGGUAAGGUAACGGCUUACCAUGGCUACGAUAGGUAGGGGUCCUGAGAGGGAGAUCCCCCACACUGGUACUGAGACACGGACCAGACUCCUACGGGAGGCAGCAGUGAGGAAUAUUCGGACAAUGGGCGCAAAGUCCCUGAUCCAGCCAUGCCGCGUGCAGGAAGAAGC
rnacentral:rRNA from 1 species